GUUUUUGUGCGAGGCGCGGAUGACAAGAGUACCUAAAAGGGAAAGGGGAUUUCGCCGAAACAACGCUAUUGUUGUUGGGGGCAAGCUGAAUAAGUUUGUCACUGUUCUAAUGAACCGUCCAGUUUAUUAGAAAGUGCAAUCAUUAAC
rnacentral:ncRNA from 2 species